rnacentral:rRNA from 1 species
UACGUAGGUGGCAAGCGUUGUCCGGAUUUACUGGGUGUAAAGGGCGUGCAGCCGGGCUGUCAAGUCAGAUGUGAAAUCCCGCGGCUCAACCGCGGAACUGCAUUUGAAACUGUCAGUCUUGAGUACCGGAGAGGUCAUCGGAAUUCCUUGUGUAGCGGUGAAAUGCGUAGAUAUAAGGAAGAACACCAGUGGCGAAGGCGGAUGACUGGACGGCAACUGACGGUGAGGCGCGAAAGCGUGGGGAGCAAACAGG